CUACCAGCAUUUAAUUUUCAUGUAUCGUGACAAUCACAAUAUCUCUCCUAUAAGCUUUAAUAAUAAGUUUGAGUUAAAUAAAAGUGAUAACUAGAAUCUUAGAGCGAAUAUGUUGAACACAUAUAAACUGCCAAGGAUAAUAAAUAAAUAUUCAAAAUACAGCAUUUUAUACAGAGGUCCAAAGUUAAAAAAAGACAAAGAAAAGGAAGCUGAGCAUAAAGAAAAACAAAAGAUAUUGUUUCCUCCAAAUCCAAGCAAGUUAAAAAAAGACAAAGAAAAGGAAGCUGAGCAUAAAGAAAAACAAAAGACAUUGUUUUCUCCAAAACCAAGCAAGAUACCAACUCUUCCUGGAAAAAAUAAUAAACCAUUGUUGACAACGCGAUCAGAAUAUGCACAAAAACAAAGCAAGUUAAUAAGUAUUUUGAAAAAUGCAAAGUCAACAGAAGAUGCUUUAAAAAGUUUUGCUUAACCAACUUCUUAAUCCACGGAUCUAUUUUAAACAACUCUUUGAUUCAACCAUUGGUUGGUUCAUUAUCUGGUAUUUGGGAUUCAAACAAUACAGGAGUUGAGUGUGCAAUAAGAACUCGAGUUGUGGACGUGAAUUUAACACCAGGAUUCUUAGUCUAUCCCGCUGCUAUAGAAGUUAAAGAAUGCAGUGGUAAAAAUUUCAGAUUACCAUUUAAGAAAUGCAUUCCAACAGAAUUAGAAAACACAAUUCAUACUGUUUGGGAUAUUAAUUAUGAUACAAAUUCAACCAAAGCAAGAAAUAUUAGUAUAGAAGAACCAAAGGGCUGUAAAUUGGGUUGCAUUAUAGAUUCUUCUUACUGUUCUCCUGCUCAUGUUUUUGAUAAAGAAAGUUGUGUUUGUACUUGUUCUUCAAAUGUUCAAAAAUGUACCGUUGAUAAACAGUGGUCUGCUAUAAGUUGUGCAUGUGAGUGCUCCAAUACAGAAUCGCCCGAGUGUCGUGUAUCAGAAAAACCGAGUCCCAUUUCACGCAAAUGUAGUUGAACAAUCGAUAAAUAAUAAUAAAAAAUUUUAUUAUAUUUUAUAUAUAGGAAAUGAAAGCAAUUUCUGUUUGUUAGUUUUUUUUUUGGUGGCAAUUUUCAUAUUUUAUUACAUAUUGAUUUAUGUGAACUUAAUGGAUUGGUUUUUGAAAUUAAUUUAAAUUAAAUUAAAUUAAUUUAAACUUAAAUUUUACUUUAUAUAGCUAUAUUUUUUAUUCACUACUUUUUUCAAUUUAACUGAAAAACAAUUUCACAUUCAGGUUUCAAAAUAUAU